rnacentral:rRNA from 3 species
GAGGACCGAACCGACUAAUGUUGAAAAAUUAGCGGAUGACCUGUGGCUGGGGGUGAAAGGCCAAUCAAACCGGGAGAUAGCUGGUUCUCCCCGAAAGCUAUUUAGGUAGCGCCUCGUGAAUUCAUCUCCGGGGGUAGAGCACUGUUUCGGCUAGGGGGCCAUCCCGGCUUACCAACCCGAUGCAAACUGCGAAUACCGGAGAAUGUUAUCACGGGAGACACACGGCGGGUGCUAACGUCCGUCGUGAAGAGGGAAACAACCCAGACCGCCAGCUAAGGUCCCAAAGUCAUGGUUAAGUGGGAAACGAUGUGGGAAGGCCCAGACAGCCAGGAUGUUGGCUUAGAAGCAGCCAUCAUUUAAAGAAAGCGUAAUAGCUCACUGGUCGAGUCGGCCUGCGCGGAAGAUGUAACGGGGCUAAACCAUGCACCGAAGCUGCGGCAGCGACACUGUGUGUUGUUGGGUAGGGGAGCGUUCUGUAAGCCUGUGAAGGUGUGUCGUGAGGC